GAUACCGUCCAUGAACAGGGGCUUUCCAUUUAUUUGGAUCUUCUUUAAUUCUUUCAACAACAAAAUCCCAGGUCUUUUUGAAAGCAUCCUGGGUGCUUUGGGACAGCUGACCUUGCAGAGUGCCUGCUUUACCGGUUACCGUGAGAGCUGAUGCGAGCUGCAAGGUCCCCGCCCUGUCCGUGGCAUUGAUACAGUCCACAGCGAGCAAACUCAAGGACUUGAGUGGAGGGGGAUUGGGUUUGGGUUUUGUUCUGGCCUUGGAAGGCCCCCCUGCGUCCCGCGGGCCUGAGCCCUCACCACCAGCCUGCCCACGCGGGUGGACGCCCCUCACUCCACCUGAUCGCUGCUUCGGUUCAGGAGUCCUGGGCGUCCUCCCGACUUUGGUUUUAUCACCUCUGUUCCCUCUGUCUCUGAACACUGUUCCUCUCCUCUUCACAGCAGGGCACUCAUCAUGUCUGAGGAUGCCCAGCCAUCCUGGUUUGCACUUCCAUGUGUGAGAACAAGGUCACAUCUCUUCCCGGGUGCACACCCACUGCACUCUGCACGAUUUACUGAGUAGACUGUUCUUUCCCCACUGCAUUCAGUGUCACCUCUGUUACAAACCGGGUGACAUGUAUAUGGGGUCUGUUUCUGGACUCUAUUAGAUUAUUUGUCUAGUCCUGUUCCAGUCUUGGACUGAAUGUUUGUGUCCCCCCACCCCCCACAAAUUCGUAUGUUGAGUCCCUAACCCCCAGUGUGAUGGUAUUUGGAAGAGGGGCCCUUGGGAGGUGAUUAAGCUUAGAUCAGAUCAUGAGGAUGGGGUGCCCAUGAUGGAAGUGGGGUCCUUAUAACAGAUCAAAGCCCUUCCUCUUAUCUGCCCGUGAGGACGCAGUGAGAAGGCAGCUGUCCACAAGCCAGGAAGUGGGUCCUCACCAAGAGCUGAAUCUGCCGGGGCCUUGACCUUGGACUUCCAGCCUCCAGAACUGUGAGGAAGAAAUGCUGAUGUUUUCAGCCUCCGUCUGCGGGUUUGAUAGAGCAGCCAGAGACGAUGAAACCAGAGUUUAAGUCCUCCAAGCUUCGCACACUCUCAGGGUUGCCUUGGCUGCUUGGUCACCUGCAUUUCCACGGAAAUUUCAGAAUCAGCUUGUCAACUCCAAGAGAAAAGCCUGCUGGAACUGGAUUGAGAUUGCACUGAAUCUAAAGGUCAUUGUAGGGAGAGUUGGUGUCUUUUCAGAAUGCCGUUUUCCAGUCUAUGAGUAUGGUAUAUGCCUCCACUUAUUAUGAUUUUUAAAUAUUCAGAACAAUUUUUGGUCUCCUGUGCAGACAUCUUGUAUAACUUUGCUAUCUUCCUAGGUACAUGAUAUUUUUUAUGCUGCUAUAAAUAGCAUAAUUUUAAAACUUCUAUUUACUAAUUAUUGUUACAGAAAUAUGGUUGUAUAUUGACCUUGUAUUCACCACUCCUGCUCAGUUUUUCUUACUAAAUUUAAUACUUUGUAGGUUCUUUUGAAUUUUCUUAUAACACUAAUUUUAAAAUAAUUCUGUUCCUAAUUUGUCUGGUCCGUAAUUAUUUGGUUGCAAGAAGCAGAAAUCCUUUCAAGGCAGUUCCGAUAAAGGUGAUGUUAGAAUGAGGCCCGAAGGGAUGCUGUGAAAACCAGGCGCAGGGAAUUCAGCUGUUCUACAGGAAAUCUCCCUCUUGGACCUCACAGCCCUGGGCUCCACACCUCUGUGCAUCUGUCUCAGCCCCGUCCUGCCCUCUCCGAGAGUGGACCAACUCCCUGGUCUCGGACCUCCUGCCACGUCCUGUCUAAUCUCUAUCUCCCUGAGAUUGAUUCCUACAAGUGGAAUUAGUGGGUCAGAGGAUAUGACCAUUGUUGUCUCUCGAUAUCACAUCAAAUUGAUUUCCAGAAGGUUGUACCACUUACUCUUCUAUCGACAACUGUAAGGAUGCUCAUUUCGCCAUCAACAGGGGCGGAAACACGAGCUUCCGGUUUGGUCUUAGCUAAUGAGCCGUUGUCAGGUGAGAGAGCGGUCCUCAGCCCCCAUCGGCAGUGGCAGGAGUGGUCUGACAGGGCCGCGGGUGGGACCGCAGGUUCCCUUCUGGACGUCCGCUUCUGUUUUGUUCACGGCCUCUAACUCCACCACCCCAAUCAUGGCUCUUAUUUUCCUCAUCGCCCUGUCCCCAUCGUCACCUUGCCGGCAGUGACGGAAGCUUUUACUGAGCCCUGGUUGGGAGUUGGCUGACGGGCUCAACCCUUGCCACCCAGCCCCUCUGGCACUGGGGGGCCCUCAGGGGCCCCCGCCUGCACCCCUCCUGUCCCUACACCGUGAAUGGCCCCUGCACUUGGGCUCUGGCCCCCCGCCCACACCACACAUGCCGCUGCACCAGAGGGACACUAGUGUACACAGGCGUCCUGGUCCCCUCGGCCCCAGGUGGAACGCUUGGUGACCCGAGGACACUGCGGGGAGAGCGCUGGGACGGGGUCCUUGGAACCCUGCUGGUGUGUUGCAAGGCCCUAGCGAGUGAGCCUCUGACUUCGGCUGCCAAAUUGUGGACGUGUGACAUUGGUUGUGUCCUGAAGAAAGGCUCCUGAGCCCGAGCUGACGUCAGCUGGACAAGCCAGUUUCCAUCGCACAGCCUGUCCAGGCCCUGAGUCAGGCCCCUGGGGCCCUGGGGGUGACAUGUGUCCUCUGUGAGCUUGGCCGGGACCUCUCAGGGAGGUGCAGUUCUUGCUCCAUCCGGACGGUCUCUCUUGUUUUCUUUAUUCCUGAAGGUGUCUGCAGCCUUCGUCCGUGGAAAGAGCACAGGGUUUGGCGAUCAGAGACUUCAUGUGGCGUCCAGCUCUGUCCUUCCAGCCUUGGGCUGGUCGUCUCACUUCCACAAACUGCACUUCUGUCCCCUGAGGGAGGGGACCCCGCUCCAGCCAAGCUCCCAGGGAUGACCUGAGACAAUGGGACAAGUGCCCUGUACACUGCCCGGUGCGGCCGGUCUGGGUGAGGGGUGAUGCUUAUUUGCUGUAUGAAAAUGUCCAGGGUGUUGGACUCGCUUCCAAGAUUACAGUUCAGAAGGUGGUCUCCAAGCGCUCUUGAAUCAGAAGUUCAAGCCCACUCUGCUUUUGUCCUCGGCCCCAAUCUUUCCAAGAGGUCAAAACGCUCUUCCAGCCCCAGCCUACGUCCCGGAUGCUCGGUGGGACACUUCAGCCUGGACUGGGCGCCCCAGUGUGGGGGUGGAAGGUGACGGAGGCCAGCCAGGUCUCAUGCUCAAGCAGCUCCAAGUCCAUCCAGGAACCUCAGGAGAACCCCUGGGCAUCUGGUGGCCUGAGCUGGCUCCCACAGUUUGGCGGGAACCUGGAGAAGGGCCCCCUCAACCAGCCUGCCAGGCGCGGCGAGCUUUGGCCAGGAGCGCGGGCUGGGCUGAGACAGAAUGGCUGAGUAGGAGCUGGGUGUGUCUUCUCGCCGCCCCAGGUCGUAAGCUGCGUGUGUGGGGCCUGGGGCUCCGUGUGGGGGUCACAGAGCAGGUUCAGGGCCUGGGUCCGAACCAGAACUCCCCACAAGCCCAAGAGAAUGUGUCUCUAUUGGCUGUCAGUGCAUCACAACUGCAGACCUAGAAGUCACUGCCAGCUCUGCCAAGGACACUGGGUGUCACCAGGUGAGGCCAUGGCUGGACUCAAAGCUGAAUGGCUCCCGCUCGCUCUUGUUGUGGGUUUACUUUUCCAGAAGUGAGCGGGGGCAGAGUCAGAGCCCUGUCUGAGUCUGCACGGGGGGUCAGGAGCCGCUCCGGCUUGUCCCCAGGCCAGGGGCUGGGAGCUGCGUGCACACUGGCUCCCUGUGAAACCUGCGGCUCCAUGCUGGGCAAUGACAAAUGACCAAAAAAUCAAUUUGUAAUCUGAUUGGAGGUUUUUUAUUUCCUCUGAUGAGUUUAAAUUUCAUUAAAAGCAACCUUAUUCCAACAUAAAAGGAAUCCUUGAAGGGUAAAACAGGGGAUUGUCUCACCAAGUAUAAAGCAGCCCGACUCUUUUGUGUGAUUUAUUCAUCGCAUUAAUUGUGAGGGCCAACUGGGGUGUCCGUUGGCAGCUGCGCCGUUAUCAGGGCCUGGGAUCGGCCUGGGAGCUCAAAGCACAAGGACUCACAUUCAAAAAUCGCUCUUUGGCGUAUUGACACUUCAGUUAUCAACAACUCGUAUUAUCUGCCGGGGGGAGCACGCAGCGGGGGGACAGGCGCGGCUACAAAUGGCCGCCAAAGCCGCCUCUGCCGCCCCUUAAUGGUUGCAGGUCUCCAAGGAAGCACCCCAGCCAGCACCCCUAAGCUGGCAUUCCUGGCACUGGCUCAGAGGAGGAAAGGCGGUGAAUGGCGUCCCCCGGCCCCAUCCCCCAGCACCUUGGGCAGGAGCCUGGAGGGCGGGGAGUGGGCGUGGGCAGGCUGCGGCUCUGUACCCCAUGAGCCUCUGGCUCUGCUGCCUCUUUAAGGCUGAAACAAGAACGCAGUCAAAGGAACCUAUUGUCAUUGACAGGAGAGAAAGUCUUUUGUAGCAUUCCGACUGCUGCUGACGUAUUUGAAGAUACUGUCUCCAUCAGCAUGUCUGAAUAUACUAAACGUGUCCCCUGAAGUCCGUCCUUGGAAGCUGGGUGCUGCGGAAGGUGAGAACUGGACACGCCUCCGAGUCCCCCUGCUCUGCCCUGCCUCUGACCAGCUGACCGCUCUGGAUCGUAAUGGUGAGUCGCGGGUCCUCCAGCAUCAGAGCCACUCAGCCCACCUGCCCUGCCCGCUCAAGGCCAAGGGCCCUGAGGAGACGCAAGUCACAGCUCUGCCUCCGCGACCAUCGGUUCUCUCAGAAUGAAAGAGAAAACUGCGCUCCAAUGCCACGCGUAGCGGGCGCUUUCCACUGGACUCCUGGCACGAAUGUGAUUUAAAAUCUUUUAACUUUAGUGUUGUUUAAUUUUUGUCAGAAUGAUUGUUCUCAUUAAUUUAUGUAUGUAACAUAUUAAUACAUUUGUUCAUGUAGUGAUGCGA